rnacentral:rRNA from 1 species
UACAGAGGUCCCAAGCGUUGUUCGGAUUCAUUGGGCGUAAAGGGUGCGUAGGUGGCGCGCUAAGUCAGGUGUGAAAUUUCGGAGCUUAACUCCGAAACUGCAUUUGAUACUGGCGUGCUUGAGGACUGGAGAGGAGACUGGAAUUCACGGUGUAGCAGUGAAAUGCGUAGAUAUCGUGAGGAAGACCAGUGGCGAAGGCGGGUCUCUGGACAGUUCCUGACACUGAGGAGCGAAAGCCAGGGGAGCAAACGGG